AUUGAACGCUGGCGGCAUGCCUUACACAUGCAAGUCGAACGGUAACAGGUCUUCGGAUGCUGACGAGUGGCGAACGGGUGAGUAAUACAUCGGAACGUGCCUAGUAGUGGGGAUAACUACUCGAAAGAGUGGCUAAUACCGCAUGAGAUCUACGGAUGAAAGCAGGGGAUCGCAAGACCUUGUGCUACUAGAGCGGCCGAUGGCAGAUUAGGUAGUUGGUGGGAUAAAAGCUUACCAAGCCGACGAUCUGUAGCUGGUCUGAGAGGACGAUCAGCCACACUGGGACUGAGACACGGCCCAGACUCCUACGGGAGGCAGCAGUGGGGAAUUUUGGACAAUGGGCGAAAGCCUGAUCCAGCAAUGCCGCGUGCAGGAUGAAGGCCUUCGGGUUGUAAACUGCUUUUGUACGGAACGAAAAGCCCUGGGUUAAUACCCUGGGGUCAUGACGGUACCGUAAGAAUAAGCACCGGCUAACUACGUGCCAGCCGCCGCGGUAAGAC
rnacentral:rRNA from 1 species